UUGAACGCUGGCGGCAUGCCUUACACAUGCAAGUCGAGCGGCAGCGCGGGGGCAACCCUGGCGGCGAGCGGCGAACGGGUGAGUAAUGCAUCGGAACGUGUCCUUUUGUGGGGGAUAACCAGUCGAAAGACUGGCUAAUACCGCAUGAGCUCGAGAGAGGAAAGCAGGGGACCGCAAGGCCUUGCGCGAGAGGAGCGGCCGAUGCCCGAUUAGCUAGUUGGUGAGGUAAAAGCUCACCAAGGCGACGAUCGGUAGCUGGUUUGAGAGAACGACCAGCCACACUGGGACUGAGACACGGCCCAGACUCCUACGGGAGGCAGCAGUGUGGAAUUUUGGACAAUGGGGGCAACCCUGAUCCAGCCAUGCCGCGUGUGUGAAGAAGGCCUUCGGGUUGUAAAGCACUUUCGGACGGAACGAAAUCGCGCGGGUGAAUAUCCCGCGUGGAUGACGGUACCGUAAGAAGAAGCACUGGCUAACUACGU
rnacentral:rRNA from 1 species